rnacentral:rRNA from 1 species
CUACGGGUCGCUCCAGUGGGGAAUAUUGGACAAUGGGGGAAACCCUGAUCCAGCAAUGCCGCGUGUGAAGAAGGCCUGCGGGUUGUAAAGCACUUUCGGUUGGGAGGACUGCUUCUAGCACUAAUAUUGUUGGAAGUUGACGUUACCUUCAGAAGAAGCACCGGCUAACUCCGUGCCAGCAGCCGCGGUAAUACGGAGGGUGCAAGCGUAAUCGGAAUUACUGGGCGUAAAGCGCGCGUAGGCGGCUAGAUCAGUCGGGUGUGAAAGCCCCGGGCUUAACCUGGGAACUGCAUCCGAUACUGUCUAGCUUGAGUACAGGAGAGGAGAGUGGAAUUCCACAUGUAGCGGUGAGAUGCGUAGAUAUGUGGAGGAACACCAAUGGCGAAGGCAGCUCUCUGGCCUGAUACUGACGCUGAGGUGCGAAAGCGUGGGGAGCAAACAGGAUUAGAUACCCCGGUAGUC